rnacentral:rRNA from 1 species
GUAGGGGGCAAGCGUUAUCCGGAUUUACUGGGUGUAAAGGGAGCGCAGACGGCAGCGCAAGUCCGGGGUGAAAGCCCGCGGCCCAACCGCGGGACUGCCCUGGAAACUGUGCGGCUGGAGUGCCGGAGAGGUAAGCGGAAUUCCUAGUGUAGCGGUGAAAUGCGUAGAUAUUAGGAGGAACACCAGUGGCGAAGGCGGCUUACUGGACGGUAACUGACGUUGAGGCUCGAAAGCGUGGGGAGCAAA